UUGCGGCCAUAUCUCAUUGAAAAACCGGUUCCCAUACAAUCCUCGAAGUUAAGCAAUGUCGAGCCAGGUCAGUAUCUAGAUAGGUGACAGCUUGGGAAUAAUAGGUGCUGUA